rnacentral:lncRNA from 1 species
GGGUUAGAGAAGAGAGGAAAAGGAAGAAAGAAAGGGGGCAGGGAAAUAUAGAUUCAAUGCUUUUGUUUUGUUUCUGGGCUGCUUGCUAUCAGCAAAGUAGAGAGAUUUAACGGAUCUUGCCGAGAAUGCAAGCCUCAUUCCAAGGAAGCCAGAGCUCAGAAGACAUGGAACAAAUACAAUGAAAACAUAACUUGAGUGUGAUUUCAUUAUGAAGUCAGAUGGAAUGAGGAGUGUGUAAAUCCAGAAUCAGAAUCCCAGCGACGAAGCUUUUCUUGCUCUGUUACCUUGGAAAAUGCUUUGAACCAGACCAGAUAAGAAAAGUAAAAGUCUGGAGUGUAAUCCUUCCAAUUGUCUUUUGGCUUCUCUUCUACUUCUACAAAAAGUUCAACAAGUCGGUGGGCAGAAGUCUAAAAUCAAGGUGUCAGCAGUGUGGAAUCCUUCUGGAGGCUUUGAGAAAUUAGAAUUUGAAACAACGGAAAGAGAGAAAUUUUAGGUUAGUAGCUAAAUCCCCAAGGAUACUAAUUAGAGAAAGAUGUUGGAAUUGCCUUAAUGAGUCACUGCCAACGCAAGUCCUAAGGAAGCAAAGACUGUGAGUAAGCAAAGGUAGCCAGCUGCUGGGAAGAGGACAAUAGAGGAAAAGGUCAGAGGGACUUUAAAAGACUGACUGUGGGCUCCCUGAGGGAAGGAGGGAUGGAGAGAGUAUCGGGUCCUAUAGAAUACCUUAAUUGUUUUUAUGACUUCUCUUUUCCAUAUCCAGUUCACAUGUACUCCUUUCUGUGCAUUAAAUUGAGUUUCUAUUGGCUUCUUUGUAACAAAAAGAACUGAACAGAAACACAUAUCUAUUGGACAAAGAGCAAUAAAAUGAUAUAAUAACUGUAUCUGAGGGUUUUUUCAUUUUAAAGAAUAAAACAAAACAAAAAUCAAACAAAAAAAACCAUCUAUCUGAUGUUGCUCCACUCCCAACAGCAUCACUAACC